rnacentral:rRNA from 1 species
CUUGCUUUCUUUGCUGACGAGCGGCGGACGGGUGAGUAAUGCCUAGGGAACUGCCCAGUCGAGGGGGAUAACAGUUGGAAACGACUGCUAAUACCGCAUACGCCCUACGGGGGAAAAGAGGGGACCUUCGGGCCUUCUGCGAUUGGAUGUACCUAGGUGGGAUUAGCUAGUAGGUGAGGUAAUGGCUCACCUAGGCGACGAUCCCUAGCUGUUCUGAGAGGAUGAUCAGCCACACUGGGACUGAGACACGGCCCAGACUCCUACGGGAGGCAGCAGUGGGGAAUAUUGCACAAUGGGCGCAAGCCUGAUGCAGCCAUGCCGCGUGUGUGAAGAAGGCCUUCGGGUUGUAAAGCACUUUCAGCGAGGAGGAAAGGUUAAGUGUUAAUAGCACUUAGCUGUGACGUUACUCGCAGAAGAAGCACCGGCUAAC